rnacentral:rRNA from 1 species
UACGUAGGGUGCAAGCGUUGUUCGGAAUCAUUGGGCGUAAAGCGCGUGUAGGCGGUUUGUUAAGUCGAUUGUGAAAUCCCUGGGCUCAACCGAGGAAGUGCAGUCGAAACUAACAAGCUAGAGGACGGCAGAGGAUGGUGGAAUUCCAAGUGUAGAGGUGAAAUUCGUAGAUAUUUGGAGGAAUACCGGUGGCGAAGGCGGCCAUCUGGACCGGUCCUGACGCUGAGACGCGAAAGCGUGGGGAGCAAACAGG